AUUGAACGCUGGCGGCAGGCCUAACACAUGCAAGUCGAGCGGAGCGGCGGACGGGUGAGUAAUGCCUAGGACUCUGCCAGGUAGUGGGGGAUAACGUCAGGAAACGGGCGCUAAUACCGCUUACUAUCAGAUGAGCCUAUGCCGGAUUAGCUAGUUGGGGGGGUAAAGGCCGACCAAGGCCACGAUCCGUAACUGGUCUGAGAGGAUGAUCAGUCACACUGGAACUGAGACACGGUCCAGACUCCUACGGGAGGCAGCAGUGGGGAAUAUUGGACAAUGGGCGAAAGCCUGAUGCAGCCAUGCCGCGUGUGUGAAGAAGGUCUUCGGAUUGUAAAGCACUUUAAGUUGGGAGGCGUUACCAACAGAAUAAGCACCGGCUAACUUCGUGCCAGCAGCCGCGGUAAUAC
rnacentral:rRNA from 1 species